rnacentral:rRNA from 1 species
UUAAGUGACUAAGCGUACACGGUGGAUGCCUGGGCAGUCAGAGGCGAUGAAGGACGUACUAACUUGCGAUAAGCGCAGAUAAGGCAGUAAGAGCCGUUUGAGUCUGCGAUUUCCGAAUGGGGAAACCCAACUGCAUAAGCAGUUACUGUUAACUGAAUACAUAGGUUAACAGAGCAAACCGGGGGAAC